CGAGCUCAACAUAGACUUGGACGAAUUUUCCAUCUCCUUCUAUACCUCGGAUCCAAACCAAUCGGAAGAGAAAAACCAAAGCAAACUCAAAUGAUCCUUUUUUGAAUGAAACUCCAAUCAAAGAAAACCCAAUCUCAUUCUUAUGAUUUCUUUAUAUACUCAUCAAUUUCAGGGAAUUUGAAGAGAUAUAAUAACGAUGAAGGUGAUUGAAAUUCGUUGGUUAUCGUUUUUGGCGAACAUGGAGCUGCUCUAGCAGUUCAAGAUCCUAAAUAGUCAGCGGUUGUGGCUCUCAGUACGAUUGAGCUGGGUGUUUUGUGCGACUGAUCAGUGCUCAUACAUUCCUUCACGCAUUUGUGGCACUUAAGCAUUCAGGUUGUUUACAAGUAAGUAAUGACUUGGUAAUGUUUACGUUAUUACUUCAGCACUAUUUUGACCGCUUCUUCCACUUCUUUUUGUUAUUGUA